rnacentral:misc_RNA from 1 species
UGCCAGAAGAUGGUGCUUGCCGAGGUUCAUAUCAACUCCUUUGACCGUUGGGUUUGUGCUGGUGACCGGUUUUUGGCUGUUCUUUCCACAGCUUCUCAGGUGUAGAGCUGAUGUUAGAGCGUUUGAGGAGUACUCGGCUAUAAGCGCGUUCCUGAAGAAUGCUGGUCGUGCUUCCAUGUUUAGAUCUUUCAACACAUCAAGCAAUUGGUCGACACCAUAAAAUCAUUACUCAUUAAAUUAAAAUCUCACAAUUUUAGAUAUGAAUCCAUCAUUACUGAUUUAAAUUGAUGAUUGUUAUGAUAUGUUCUUGAUUUUGUUAGAUGGCAUAUAACUCCAGCGAUUUUUAGGUUACAGUCUUG